CCCGAGUUCGAUUCUCGGAAUGCCCCAAAAGUUUUCAUUUUCGUCGGCUUUUGUCGACUCAUUAUUUAUGAAAUCAGACUGUUUUCGAAUUUAGAACAAUGCCUAUCACCGGUUUGAUUAUUUGCCUCUGCAACAUCACCUUUUCCCUGCGGGAACAAUCGCGGCUUCUCUCCUUAUCAACUGUGCUUCAGCUGGAUCUCCCACACAUUAGUCUAAGAUUGACCUAACUGAGAGCUAUGCAAAACUAGUUAUUCCUUUUUUUUUUAACCUGGAUCAGGAGCUAUGAGAUUGAAACAAAAAAUUUUCAAGUGUUCCUUCCUAAUUAUAUAUGUAUUUUGAUAUAUUGCAGCUUUGAAACCAGACUGUUGCGAAUUACGAACAAUGCCUAUCACCGGUUUAAUUAUUUGCCUCUGCAACGUCACACCUUUUCCCUGCCGGAACAAUCGCCGCUUCUCUCCUUAUCAACUGUGCUUCAGCUGGAUCUCCCACACAUUAGUCUAAGAUUGAUCUAACUGAGAGCUAUGCAAAACUUUCAAUCUCGAUUUUACAGAGAUCUUCAGAACUUGUCAUAUUUGGGGACCGCCUUGAUCAGGAUCCUUGUGCUUCUAAGAACAGGAGUUGAAGAAGAGUUGACAAUAAUCCAAGGGAAAAUAUUGCAAUUGCAGGAAAGUUGAAUCAAGUUUCUAUGGACGGCGAAACCAUGUGCUAUUGUUUCCCAAGUAUGCAUUACUUGUUGCAAUUGCGUUAGGUACUCAAGGUCAGUUGUGGUGGCGUAUGACUUCUUAAACAGGGAAGUGAUAGAUUUCUAGUCUAGCAUUUAGAAAAUGCCUGAGACCAAUUGGCAUUAUAAUCAUACCAGCGUUUGUUUGAGUAGAAAAUCGCUCUGAGUCUUGAUUCAACGGGUUGGUUGCUUCAUUGACUUGGAGCUUAACGGGUGUAAAUUAUCAAAAUCCAUAAUUCACAAAGUCUUACAUUUAUUUCUGUAGAUCUGUGAUUUGGUAAUUCUUAUGUUAAUGAUUGAGCGGCGAAUAUUUGAGC